GAACUGCGAUAAGCAAUGCGAAUUGCAGAAUUCCGCGAGUCAUCAGAUCUUUGAACGCAACUGGCGCUGAGGGGCUAUCCUCUCAGCAUGUUUGUCUCAGUGUGUUUGUUUACAAAUCACACAGCUAAAUGCGAUUGACGGGGGAGAUUUAUAUAUAUCUCUCUCUCUCUUCUUUCGUUAAAUUUGCGAAUGGGGUCCCAAGCGUCUGACUUUGGCCCAAUGAAGCGGUCACUUUUUUCAAAAGUGAACUCAUUGGAACUGCCUUGUCUUGCGCGCACACAUUAUCUGUGUAAAUAUUAUUACACUCCUCCCCAUUCAUUUAUUUCACUUACUUAAAUAAAAUAUAAUAUUAUCCAUCAGCACCUGAGAUCAAGCAAGAUUACCCGCUGAACUUAA
rnacentral:misc_RNA from 1 species